AUAUAUAUAUAUAUAUGAAAUAAAGCAAUUUAAUUACAAUAGAUUGAUCGCUUUUAAAAGAGUAAUGAUAUUUUAAAUGGCCGACGCCAUUAUGGAAAAUAUUAUCCUUAUAAAUAUGGCAACUAAUUGGUUUAUAAUAUUGUUAAUGUUUAUCACCAUUGUGUAUAUAUGGGGUUUACAAAUGGCGUGACAUUAAUUAUCUUUAAACAUUUAUUUUAUCAAAAAAGAUAACAAAGAAAAGAAAAAUGCAUAUAUAAAAUACUUUUAUAUAGUUAAUUAUUUGUAAUAUUUACCGUCUUUAUCAUUGAUAAAAUUUAAUUACAUCUUAUCAAGUUGUAUGCUUAUUUUGAUUUUCCAGUCUUUUUUAAUUACAAAAUAAGUAUUAAUAAAUGUUAAUUAUUCUCAUGUAAAGAGAAUACCAAGUUGAUAACCUAGGAAAUUUUUUAUAUCAUCGUCGGUAAUAUAAAUUUCUAUAUGGAACACUUUUACGAUGCAAAUGUUUACAGAUAGCGCUACUUACAUCAAACACUGUCUUAAUGCUUUUAUACAAACGAGAAUCGCAUAUAUGGCGAUUGUAUAAAAUUCUUGUCAUGAUUUUAUUACUUCCGUAAGUUAAAAUUCAUCAGUUGAAUUCAUUUUAAUUUAUGCAAGCUAGAGAAACUUAUGAUCAUAAUAGAUAUUUAAAUCGAUCAGAGAAGAUUAUAUGAUUCAUUGUUGUAAAAUUAUAAAAUUAAUGUUUGGUUAUAGCAAAUAUUCGUGAGAUAAAAAAAAGAAAAAAAUGUACGCCUGCGCGUAUAUACCACAACACCUUAUUUAAUGUUUAGUUGUCGACGAUUGUGCAUUGACCUUGAGCUUGUCCUUGACCUUGGGCGUGUCUUCAACAUACGAAGCGAAGAUGACCGUGUCGAACGAGCCCUGACCUAACCUAUUCUAGGCUAUGUCUCUGUUCUUCGCAUACAGACAAAGCCUAGGAGAGGCUAAAUCAAAUUACUCGGUGCUUUUUUUCACUCCUUUAGUAUAUUUUGCAAAUUAGCUUUAGGUAUAUAUUCGUUAGAUUUAUGUACAGAUAUUCGUUGAAUCUCUCUUCUAUAUAUAUGAAGAGCAUAAAAAGGAAGCACUUUGUAGCACUUUAUGAAACGAUUUUUUUUUACCUUUUUUUUUUUUUUUUUUUUUAUUAUCUUUCGAAUACGUAAUCUUCGGUUAGCUUUGUUUAACAAACUAGCGAAAUGCAUUUACUGAAGUUUUAAGAAACGUUUAGGAUAAAAUAAUAUGCAAAAUUGAUGAAAUAAUUAAUGAAAGUGUAAAUAUAUUUGCAAUGAUAAUAUUAAUCAUGUGAUUCGGUUUUUGUUGAUUAGAUUUAAAAAUUGUUUUUUAUAGCAGAGGUUAGUCGGUUUGGAUCGCAAGGAAAUUGUGUCAUGCCUAAAAAUACGCAAAGCACGCAGGUAAAUGUUAAAAGGUCGUACGGACAAGGAAUAAAAAAAGCUAAAGGAAUUGCACAAGAGAGGUUGAUUUGGUAUUCAAAUCACCAGGUAUGCGCCCGCCUCUCUCGUGGCACUGGUGGUAGUACUAGUCGUAAUAUGGAGGUCUCUUUCCUCUAGGAAUACUUUUUCUCUUCUUUCUUUAACUUCUUCUUGCUUUCACUCAUAUUAUAAACUACCUUAGCUAUUAUUAAUCCGUUUCUUGCACUUGAUUCUUUUGAUUCUUUUUUUUUUAUUACGUCACUGAUUGCAGGAUACCUCUUUAGAAAGUUUUGAUAGAAAUGAAGUAGACAAAAAAAAAGCAAAUGAGAGAAAACAAUAUAUAAGUAAUAGGCACGGUAAGAUUGAUCGGCGAAAAACUUUAAGAAUGUAUAUUUUAUCUUAUUAAUGAAGAUUAUCGAUAAAUGAUAUUUUUAAAAGAAUCAUGGACGAAUAUCAUUUCUAGCACGAAAAAGAAAAAAUCAUAUUUUAUCACUAAACAAUUCGAGAAAUACGACGAUAUACAGUUUUUUAGACGAAGAAAAGGAGAAUUCGUUGAACGACGAUGUUUCGAUCAAGAGAUUUCGAUGCACGGUCAUGCGUUACUUCUUCUCGAAGGAGACUUCAACGGCCGCAUAUAAGAUUGCCUAGCGUUGCGUAUCAACACACAUGUCAUACUAUGUAAAUAAGUAUAAUAUACAAGUAUGUAAAAUAUAUGCAUAAAAAAGAAAUAACCAAUAUUGUUUACUUCUGAUAUUCUACAAAUUAUAUCUCUUGCUUUUUUAAUUAUCUUUCAAACGUAAUAACAUUCUUUUGCUAUCGAGAGCGGAAUGAGAAAAAAAAAAUACAAAGAGAGAGAAAAAAGCAAAAGGAAAACGAAGAAGGAAGAAACUCGUUUAUUUUACGACGUCAUAGCGGAUAAAAACACUCGCGAAGCUGGAUCUCACGGAGUAUUAGUUCGUUUCAUAGAUAGAUAAAUAAAGAAACAUAGCGAUAAUCUUAUGACGCAAAAAGGAAGGAUUUAUAUCAGCACACCAAUUGUUAAUCCUUUCUUGGAAAUUAUUUGAGACGAUUGUUUUUUGAGAACAAUCCUCAAUAAUUUACGAAUACAACAAAAACAAAACAAAGAAAAAAGAAGAAAAACCAAGGCUGUUAUAUUUUUCCAAACGAAACAAACAAACUUACGGUAUCACGUAUUCGAAAGAGUAUGAAUUUCAUUCUACUCGCAUCGUUUGUACUCGCGAUCGUACAUAGGUAUUUUCUUUUCUCACAAUAUUUGUUCUCUCUUUCUUUCUGUUAUUUCCCUUUUUCUUUUAUUAUUUUUUUCUUCGUUUGCAAAAAUAAGUAGACGUGUCGCGUGCGAAGAUAAAAUAGUGCCGAUGUAAAAGACAAAAUCACGGAUCCGCGAUCGAUACGAUCCAACGAGACCGGAUUGGUCCUCGCGCGUGUUGUCACGGAGAAUACGCGCAACUUCUGCGCGCAGAUCUCGCGGCAACCUGUGCGCGCACUAACCACUAACCAUCGAACCGCGGGAGGCCAAGGUAUGCUCGCGAGCGCAACCCACACGAUAUAUACGUAUCUCUACUAUGUGCGCGCGUUAAACCACGUGAGACCGGCCAACGUCUUUCCAUGGGAACGUCUGGUGGGGGAGGAAGAUGGAAAGAAGGAGAAGCUCAACCUACAAGUCGCUCUGUGCUUCUCUCUCUCUCUUUCUCUCUCUCUCUCUCUCUCUCUCUCUCUCUCUCUCUCUCUCUUUUUCUUCCACUCUUUUUCUUUCACAAAUUAACCAUCACCUCCCGCGAUUCGUCACAAAGAAGAAGGCCACCAUAGCUUGCAACCUUUUUGCCAAAUCUAGUUUCACGUCGAACGGUCGGAUGAAGACUAUCUCGAGACGCAGUACAAUCAUUUGCAACCGAGUCAAGAUCCCUCUUCUUCUUCUCUUCCCGUUGCAAUCUUUCUUUUUUUAUUUAUUGCUCGUUUCGGUUUCAUUUAUCGUUGGCAUAGUAGUAAUCGCUUUGGCGAGAAUAGACAUCCACUUUUUUAUUUGCCACCCCGUAGACGACGAUGAGUUAUCACUCGGCAUUCUCGGCGAUCUUCGAUCGACGAGUUUUUAUGAAGGUCGUACGAGCUACAACGGAACGUCGCCGUUGUCGACCGGGCCGCUUACCUCGCUCGACUCGCGUUUGUCCUACCCGUACAUUUUUACGGGAAUUAGGACGACAGAAUAGUGCUCGUCAAUCUACCUCGAGAACUGCUGGGAGGAAGGGGAGAGAAACAAUCCUCGCGGUCCAGGAUAUGUUGUCAGGCGUGCAUUUUGGGCGCCGGCUUGAAUUCCAUUUGUCACCUUUUUCGUUCUCACUGAGAAAUCGCACCAUAUAUAUUAUACGUGUAUAUACAGGGUGAGGCGAUAACUUUGAUCAUUUAGAUUAUCUCCGUUUUUUGAUAGAUAUGAAGAAAUUUUAUUUAGAAAAAUUGUAUGGUACUGAGAGAGCUAUAAUAUAAUAGAAAUAAUAUUUUUAUAGAUGGACAAGUAAAGGACAUAUGAAGGCCAACUGAAUGUUUUUUAAUGGAAUAAUAAGUUCUUGAUAGCAUUGAUCGAUGCGGCUCGAAUAUAAUAUACAUUCUCUAUAAAAGUUUAUUAACUCAUAUAUAUCAAAAAAUUAUUAGUUUAAGAGAUAUUUUAAUGUAAAUAUUGCUAAGAAGCAAUAUAUGUAAAUGUGAUUAAAAUAUAAUAAGAGUAGUAGUAGUAAGUAAAUAGUAGUAGUAAAAGAAUGAUGGUUUCUUAGCUUACCAUACAUCAUUAUUCUUACGCUUAUGCAUAAUAAUGGUAUAAGAUAAGCGCAGAGUAAGCGCAAAGUAAGUGUAGAAUAAUUGUAGUUAAGUAAGUUAAGAAACCAUCACUCUCUUACCACUAUUAUUUACUUAUUAUUACUUUUACUACAUUUUAGUCACAUCUGCACAUAGUUUUUUAGUAAUAUUUACA